rnacentral:rRNA from 1 species
GACGAACGCUGGCGGCGUGCUUAACACAUGCGAGUCGAACGGUGAUGCUCCAGCUUGCUGGAGUGGAUCAGUGGCGAACGGGUGAGUAACACGUGAGCAACCUGCCCCAGACUCUGGAAUAAGCGCUGGAAACGGCGUCUAAUACUGGAUACGAAACUGGCCCGCAUGGGCAUGGUUUGGAAAGUUUUUCGGUUUGGGAUGGGCUCGCGGCCUAUCAGCUUGUUGGUGAGGUAAUGGCUCACCAAGGCGACGACGGGUAGCCGGCCUGAGAGGGCGACCGGCCACACUGGGACUGAGACACGGCCCAGACUCCUACGGGAGGCAGCAGUGGGGAAUAUUGCACAAUGGGCGAAAGCCUGAUGCAGCGACGCCGCGUGAGGGAUGACGGCCUUCGGGUUGUAAACCUCUUUCAGCAGGGAAGAAGCGAAAGUGACGGUACCUGCAGAAGAAGCACCGGCUAACUACGUG